rnacentral:lncRNA from 1 species
UUUUAACUGAUGUUUGACUAACGCUGACAUAGUAACCAUGUGCGUCUCACGUGCGAUCGGCAUGGCAAGUCAAAUAAACCAAAACAAUUAAAUUGAUGAUAAAUUGAUAAUUGAGCAAUUUUCUUGUCUGGGUGAUGAAAUAAUUGAAUUUCUGGGUUAUUAUUUUUUAUCUUAAAAUUUGCACUUUUAUGAUUAAAUCUAAAUCAUAAUCUAAAGAUUCUGCAUCCUGGAAAGAUGCUCCACAAAUGAUGAUUGUUUUACAAGUGGGUAUUUGUUAGAAUUAAUUGGUUGCUUUUUCAAGUUUUUGCUGUCUUAGUCACGGUUGUUCUAAAGAUUGUCAUCAAGAUGUUUGAGAAAAUGUCAAAAUGACUCAUUGCCAAAAACUUUUUUUUUUUGGGGGGUCUUCUCGAUUAUCGGGGCUGUCUUGUCUGAUCUUUUUAUGUGGUUUCUCUGAUCUUACAAACAAUCUAAUGAGAAAGCUCCAAUAAUUUCAUAGAAAAAUUAUUAGAUGGGCAGAAAGAAAAAUGCUGAAGAAUGUAUUACUCCUUUCUCCACAUGUUUUAUUCUAGUUCUGGGGAAGCUUUUGCUUUGCAUGGAAAAUAUUUCAAGGAAAUGUUUGAAAUGGCUCAGAAAUGAAGGGAGGCCAUAUUGACAGAAGCAUCCGAUUCCAAUCUAUCUGCAUGGGAUUCCAAGAAAGUUAGGUAACUCUUAUCCAUUUACAAAUGGGAAAUUUAUAUACAUCUCGGGUUAUUAGAAAAGUAGAUGUAGAAGGUGCUUAUGGGAUGUAUAGAGUCUCAUUAAAAAAUAUCUGAUGCCACGUCCCUUCAUGUGAAAACUUAGCAGUACUCAAACUUAAUUUUGUCAGUUGCAGAUACAAAAUAUCAUGUUUAUUACCACCAUUGUUAUUGUUUCACUCUUACUUCUGCAGUACUCUGCCAUUACAUAAUUUAAUGGCAACCCCCUUAUCGCAAUAUAAUGAUGUUACUAGACACCACACAACUAACUCAGAGGUAAUUUCUGAACAGUAAAACAACUGCAUUUUAUCAAGGAAAGCAGAAAGCUAUUGCAAGGCCACCAUGUGCUAUUGCAUUUCUACUUUGCAUCAAUUAUUUCUUUCUUGACAGCUCCAAAUUUUUGGUGAUUUUGUAGACAACAAAAUAAUCACAAUAUACAUGAACCCAUGCUUAGUACUGCUUUUCUUUUAUUGUCUCCCAUCUCUCUCUCUCUCUCUCUCGUGCUCUUAACGUUACUGUGUUGUCAUUGUUUUGGCAUUAUUUAUGCAUGUGCUUGACUUUACUUUCCAUUUUGGGUAAUUUGUGUCAACGUCAGAAAAGACUUUGUUAUUUGACAAUAAAAAUUUUUACUAGUUUAUAUCACUACUGAUUUAAGUGAUUUUUAAAUUAAUAGUUACAAUUUAAUGAUAUAUUACAAUAUGGAAUCUGUUAGGACUUUAGUCUCUAAAUACAUAUAUUUAUAAUACAACUUCAAAUCUAUGUAGAUUAGCUUUGAAAUAUACUUUAACUAACAAUAUUGUGGAGAAGUUUAACCAUAUAUCACAUUCUUGCAGUAAGGGAAAAGAGUCCGAUAUAUGGGGUCCAAACUAUGACCUCAAUUUUAAGGCAGGCAACAAAAAACUACUGAAAAUUUGAAAAUAGUAAGGUUAGGGAUUCGAAUCCCAAUUAACGUGACAUUCAUUUAUUGGAUAGUAGAAUAUUAAUUUUACCAAUUAUGAAAUUCACUAUCCACUAAAUAACACAUAAUAGUUAGGAAUCAACUGUUGGGAUUUUUAGCAUUAUUGAUUUCGGGAACUACUAAUACAUAUUAAAAACUCAAGGCCUUAAUUUUUUCCCUAAAAAAGGGGAUUAAUCUCGGUAAAAAAAUUCAUGAAUAAUAGGGAAAUGGGUUGAGUUAUUUGAACCCACCAAAUUACUCAAUUAAAUCCACCUUUGAAUAUAAU